rnacentral:rRNA from 1 species
UACGGGGGGGGCAAGCGUUGUUCGGAAUUACUGGGGGUAAAGGGCUCGUAGGUGGCCAACUAAGUCAGACGUGAAAUCCCUCGGCUUAACCGGGGAACUGCGUCUGAUACUGGAUGGCUUGAGUUCGGGAGAGGGAUGCGGAAUUCCAGGUGUAGCGGUGAAAUGCGUAGAUAUCUGGAGGAACACCGGUGGCGAAGGCGGCAUCCUGGACCGACACUGACACUGAGGAGCGAAAGCCAGGGGAGCAAACGGG